rnacentral:rRNA from 1 species
CCUACGGGAGGCUGCAGUGAGGAAUAUUGGUCAAUGGGCGGGAGCCUGAACCAGCCAAGCCGCGUGAGGGAAGACGGUACAGCGUAUCGUAAACCUCUUUUGUCAAGGAACAAAGUCGGGGACUAGUCCCCGGCUGAAGGUACCUGAAGAACAAGCAUCGGCUAACUCCGUGCCAGCAGCCGCGGUAAUACGGAGGAUGCGAGCGUUAUCCGGAUUUAUUGGGUUUAAAGGGUGCGCAGGCGGCCGGUUAAGUCAGCGGUAAAAGCCCGGGGCUCAACCCCGGAGAGCCGUUGAAACUGGCGGGCUGGAGUGGGAGAGAAGUACGCGGAAUGCGCGGUGUAGCGGUGAAAUGCUUAGAUAUCGUGCAGAACCCCGAUUGCGAAGGCAGCGUACCGG